AACUUUGAUCGUUCACUCUUCCGUGACUGCAGUACACCUGCAAAGUGUUAGCACUCGUUAGCUUGUCAUUAGCGUUUUCUUUUCUCCUCUCCUCUCCUCUCUCACGCUGCAGUUUUUCACAAGUUCAUCAAACAACCGCAGUAAGAAUAUUUCAUCAAGCACGGUGAGGACACGUUGGAGGCUGUGGAGAAGCAGAUUCGUGACCUGGAGGUGAGGCAGGCGCAGCUGAGAGAGCGGAGAGCCGCGCAGGAAUCAUCCCGGGCUGACGCUCACAAGUCCAGGGUUAGCAUACAGCGCGCUGCUAACAGUUCCACCACGUCUACUCCUGAUCGAGACGGUUCGCAGCACGACGCCCGCGCCGACGAUCGUCGUGUCAGGACCACUGCCCACGUAUCGAUGAGGACACGAAAGGUUCAGUAGACUUGUUGCUUUAAAUGAAAGGUUGUUGUCAUGGUGUAAAGAACAGAAACUGCUAUUUGUUAAUAACUGGAAUCUUUUCUGGGAGCGUCCUAGGCUGUUUCGCGCUGAUGGAUUACACCCCAGCAGAGUCGGAGCGGAGUUUCUCUCUGACAACAUCUCCAGGACACUUCGCUCCAUGUGACUAACACCGCUCCAGAACCACAGAAAACCACAGACAUCGCUCAAGAACCACAGACACCACUCCAGAACCACAGAGAACCACAGAGACUGCUCCAGAACCACAGAAAACCACAGACAUAACUCAAGAACCAGAGACUGCUCCAGAACCACAGACACCACUCCAGAACCACAGAGAACCACAGACACCACUCCAGAACCACAGAGAACCACAGAGACUGCUCCAGAACCACAGACACCGCUCCAGAACCACAGACACCGCUCCAGAACCACAGAGAACCACAGACACCGCUCCAGAACCACAGAGAACCACAGAGACUGCUCCAGAACCACAGACACCGCUCCAGAACCACAGAGAACCACAGACACCGCUCCAGAACCACAGAGAACCACAGAGACUGCUCCAGAACCACAGACACCGCUCCAGAACCACAGAGAACCACAGACACCGCUCCAGAACCACAGAGAACCACAGAGACUGCUUCAGAACCACAGACACCACUCCAAAACCAAAGAGAACCACAGACACCACUCAGAAUUAUAGAGAACCACAAACACCGUUGCAGAACCACAGACACCUCUCCAGAACCACAGAGAACCAAAGACACCGCUCCAGAACCACAGAGAACCACAGCCACCACUCCAGAAUUAUAGAGAACCACAAACACCGUUGCAGAACCACAGACACCUCUCCAGAACCACAGAGAACCACAGACACCGCUCCAGAACCACAGAGAACCACAGCCACCACUCCAGAACCACAGACACCACUCCAGAACUACAAAGAACCACAGA